AGGGCGCAGGGCGAAUGCCUUGGCACUGGGAGCCGAUGAAAGACGUGAUAAGCUGCGAUAAGCUUCGGGGAGCUGCAAAUAAGCAUUGAUCCGGAGAUUUCUGAAUGAGGAAACUCACCUGGGUUCAUACUCAGGUACGUUAUACUGAACUUCAAAAUAGGUAUAUCGAGGGAACCGCCUGAACUGAAACAUCUAAGUAGGGCGAGGAAGAGACAUCAAACGAGAUUCCGUAAGUAGUGGCGAGCGAACGCGGAAGAGGGCAAACCGGAAGUAGAAAUACUUCCGGGGUACGGACUGCUUUUAGGACUUAAUCUGUUAACCGAACGGCAUGGGAAGGCCGGUCAGAGAGUGUGAGAACCACGUAGGUGAAAACGGAGAGAGCUGCGCAGGAUCCAGAGUACGGCCAGACACGUGAAACCUGGUCGGAAUACGGGGGGACCACCCUCCAACCCUAAAUACUACCCAGUGACCGAUAGCGUAUAGUACUGUGAAGGAAAGGUGAAAAGCACCCCGGGAGGGGAGUGAAAAAGAACCUGAAACCCUGUGCCUACAAGCACCUAGAGCACGUCAAUGUGUGAUAGGGUACUUUUUGUAGAACGGUCCGGCGAGCGAUUGUAUGCAGCAAGGUUAAGGACUUAAGGUCUGGAGCCGAAGCGAAAGCGAGUUUGAAAAGGGCGUUAAGUUGCAUAUAAUGGGCCCGAAACCGGGUGACCUACCCAUGGUCAGGUUGAAGUGGAAGUAAAAUUCCAUGGAGGACCGAACCGACCUCCGUUGAAAAGGCGGCGGAUGAACUGUGGGUAGCGGAGAAAUUCCAAUCGAACCCGGAGAUAGCUGGUUCUCCCCGAAAUAGUUUUAGGACUAGCCUCAAGUUAGAUACCUGGAGGUAAAGCACUGAAUAGCCUAGCGGCCGAGAGGUUAGCGAAGCUUAUCAAACUCAGAAUGCCAGAGUAUUGAUGCUUGGGAGUCAGACAGUGUCAGAUAAAUGUCAUUGUCAAAAGGGAAACAGCCCAGAUCUACAGCUAAGGUCCCAAAGUCAGGUUAAGUGGAAAACGAUGUGAAGAUACGCAGACAACCAGGAUGUUGGCUCAGAAGCAGCCACUCAUUCAAAGAGUGCGUAAUAGCUCACUGGUCGAGCGUCUUUGCGCGGAGAAUUUAACGGGGCUAAACCUGACACCGAAGCUUAGGCAAUACAGCAAUGUAUUGGGUAGGGGAGCGUUGUAUACGCGGUGAAACAGUAGCGCAAGCGGCUGUGGAGUGUAUAGAAGUGAGAAUGCCGGAAUGAGUAGCGCGAAUGCAGUGAGAAUCUGCAUGGCCGAAAGCCUCAGGUUUCUGGAGGAAGGUUCGUCCGCUCCAGGUUAGUCGGGAGCUAAGGUGAGGCCUAACGGCGUAGCCGAUGCACAGACGGUAGAGAUUCCGUCACCACCAAAAGAGUUAAACACAGGGACACAUUUGAAGUCUCGGAGCCGGGUGUUGGUUCCGGUAGCGAUCGAGGGAAGUUAGUACCGAAGUCCGGGAUGGAAGAUGGCGAGAAAAGCUGUGUGUAUUUCUGCGGUGCCCGUACCGCAAACCGACACAGGUAGGUAGGAAGAAGAUUCUAAGGCCAACGGGAGAAGGGUUGUUAAGGAACUCGGCAAAUUGACCCCGUAACUUCGGGAGAAGGGGUGCUCCAGAGAUGGAGCCGCAGAGAAUCGGCCCAAGCAACUGUUUACCAAAAACACAGGUUUGUGCUAAAUCGAAAGAUGACGUAUACGAGCUGACGCCUGCCCGGUGCUGGAAGGUUAAGAGGAGAUGUGCAAGCAUUGAAUCGAAGCCCCAGUGAACGGCGGCCGUAACUAUAACGGUCCUAAGGUAGCGAAAUUCCUUGUCAGGUAAGUUCUGACCCGCACGAAAGGCGUAAUGAUCUGGGAGCUGUCUCGACCAUAGACUCGGUGAAAUCUUAAUACCUGUGAAAAUGCAGGUUACCCGCGAUAGGACGGAAAGACCCCAUGGAGCUUUACUGUAGCUUGAUAUUGGAAUCAGAUAAUUUUUGUAGAGGAUAGGUGGUAGGCUUUGAAGUGUAGACGCCAGUUUACAUGGAGCCACCCUUGGAAUACCACCCUGAAGUUGUUUGAUUUCUAACUCGCACCCAUUAUCUGGGUGGAGGACAGUGUCUGGUGGGCAGUUUGACUGGGGCGGUCGCCUCCCAAAGAGUAACGGAGGCGCCCAAAGGUUCCCUCAGCAUGGAUGGAAAUCAUGCGAAGAGUGUAAUAGUAUAAGGGAGCUUGACUGUGAGACUUACAAGUCGAGCAGGUACGAAAGUAGGGUAUAGUGAUCAGGCGGUUGAAUAUGGAAUUGCCGUCGCUUAACGGAUAAAAGUUACCCUGGGGAUAACAGGCUGAUACCACCCAAUAGUUCACAUAGACGGUGGUGAUUGGCACCUCGAUGUCGGCUCGUCACAUCCUGGAGGUGGAUUCGCUUCCAAGGGUUGGGCUGUUCGCCCAUUAAAGUGGCACGCGAGCUGGGUUCAGAACGU
rnacentral:rRNA from 1 species